rnacentral:sRNA from 1 species
UAAGCCAUCCUUGUUUUCUUUCAUUUUGGGGAAAGAAAGAAACAAGGAAAUGGAUACUCUCUAGAAGAGGAGGAAGGGUGUUCUCUGCCUGUUUGCACAUUCAAGUUCAAAGUGGAGACAGGAAAUCACAUGACGAUGAGUGUCCUGAGAAAAAUCUUCGUGAAAGAUCUUGACAUGUGUCCCCUACACAAACUCCAGAAGACAGAAUGCGGCAGCCACACGAAAGAGGAAACCAAGACUGCCUGCUUGGUAAGAACAUCAUGGAGUAGAAGCUAAGUGUUGCGAGUAAGACUUGGUCACAUCCAGGGAAGCUUCAGGACUCCCCCUCCCUAGAUGGGGAGCUCUGUGAGGGCAGGGACUAGGACUUGGGAUGAGUGGCUGUCUCUGGAGUGAAUAGCACUUGGCAGACAGUAUGCGCUCAAUAAAAAUCUGCUGAAUGAA